CAUUGAACUUAAGAUUCAAAUAUAAGGUAUUUUUAACUUUUAUUAAAAUU
rnacentral:tRNA from 1 species